rnacentral:rRNA from 1 species
UGGCUCAGGAUGAACGCUGGCGGCGUGCUUAACACAUGCAAGUCGAACGGAGUUUUAACGGAAGUUUCGGAUGGAAGUUUAAGAACUUAGUGGCGGACGGGUGAGUAACGCGUGGGUAACCUGCCUCAUACAGGGGGAUAACAGUUAGAAAUGACUGCUAACACCGCAUAAUAUAGCGAAACCGCAUGAUUUUGCUAUCAAAUAUUUAUAGGUAUGAGAUGGGCCCGCGUCUGAUUAGCUAGUUGGUGGGGUAAAAGCCUACCAAGGCGACGAUCAGUAGCCGGCUUGAGAGAGUGACCGGCCACAUUGGGACUGAGACACGGCCCAAACUCCUACGGGAGGCAGCAGUGGGGAAUAUUGGACAAUGGGGGAAACCCUGAUCCAGCGACGCCCGCGUGAGUGAAGAAGUAUUUCGGUAUGUAAAGCUCUAUCAGCAGGGAAGAUAAUGACAGUACCUGACUAAGAAGCCCCGGCUAACUACGUGCCAGCAGCUGC